AGCAGCCGCGGUAAUUCCAGCUCCAAUAGCGUAUAUUAAAGUUGUUGCAGUUAAAAAGCUCGUAGUUGAACUUCAGGCCUGUCCAGAUGGUCCGCCUUAAUUGGUGUGUACUGUCCUUGGGUGGGUCCUACCUUCUGGCGAAGCGGCAUGGCCUUAGUUGGUUGUGUCGGGGAACCAGGACUUUUACUGUGAAAAAAUUAGAGUGUUCAAAGCAGGCAUAUAUGCUCGAAUACAUUAGCAUGGAAUAAUGGAAUAGGACGAUGGUUCUAUUUUGUUGGUUCUAGGACCGUUGUAAUGAUUAAUAGGGAUAGUUGGGGGCAUUAGUAUUCAAUUGUCAGAGGUGAAAUUCUUGGAUUUAUUGAAGACUAACUACUGCGAAAGCAUUUGCCAAGGAUGUUUCCAUUAAUCAAGAACGAAAGUUAGGGGAUCGAAGACGAUCAGAUACCGUCGUAGUCUUAACCAUAAACUAUGCCGACUAGGAAUCGGGCGAUGUUGACAAAAAUGACUCGCUCGGCACCUC
rnacentral:misc_RNA from 1 species